rnacentral:rRNA from 1 species
AUGCACCUCUCAUGGUGUGAGCCUGCCUGCUUGCACACAUUGAGCGUCAUCGGUGAGGCUAGAAGUUCACCCAGAUGCUUGGAGACAGAAUUGGUUGUGGACACGAGCCUUACCACAGACUGUGAGAAUGGCAUUGAUUUCAUCAAGGACAUUGCCAUAGACACGUGCACGUGCUCGGGUGAAGGCGGAACACAAACAGUCCGCGGCGUUUGGCGUCUGGCGAACCUGCCGGCAGCACUGGUUCUCCUCGAACGGGCUCAUCUUGCCCAAGCGGACGUUCACGCACACUUUGAGAGCAAUUUCAUCGCUCAACUUGCACCGUCCACCGACUGGGGAUGGCGGCGGCGCCUGUGCUGGUGA